CCAAUAGCGUAUAUUAAAGUUGUUGCAGUUAAAAAGCUCGUAGUUGAAUUUCGGGAUCAGUACGCUGGUCAUGCCUUUGGUAUGCACUGGUGUCACUAGUUUCUCCCUUCUGAAGAACCGUGAUGUCAUUAAUUUGGUGUCGCGGGGAAUCAGGACUGUUACUUUGAAAAAAUUAGAGUGUUUAAAGCGGGCUCACGCUUGAAUACAUUAGCAUGGAAUAAUGAAAUAGGACGUUUGACCCUAUUUUGUUGGUUUCUAGGAUCGACGUAAUGAUUAAUAGGGAUAGUUGGGGGCAUUAGUAUUCAAUUGUCAGAGGUGAAAUUCUUGGAUUUAUUGAAGACUAACUACUGCGAAAGCAUUUGCCAAGGAUGUUUUCAUUAAUCAAGAACGAAAGUUAGGGGAUCGAAGACGAUCAGAUACCGUCGUAGUCUUAACCAUAAACUAUGCCGACUAGGGAUCGGAUGAUGUUAAUUUUAUAAUGACUCAUUCGGCGCCUUACG
rnacentral:rRNA from 1 species